rnacentral:rRNA from 1 species
GUGCCAGCAGCCGCGGUAAGACGAACCGUGCAAACGUUAUUCGGAAUCACUGGGCUUAAAGCGCGUGUAGGCGGGCCAUCACGUCGGUCGCUGAAAGCCCCCGGCUCAACCGGGGAAGGGGCGCCGAUACGAGUGGCCUGGAGGUAGGUAGGGGGAGCCGGAACUGCCGGUGGAGCGGUGAAAUGCGUUGAGAUCGGCAGGAACGCCCGUGGCGAAAGCGGGCUCCUGGACCUCACCUGACGCUGAGACGCGAAAGCCAGGGGAGCGAACGGGAUUAGAUACCCCCGUAGUCC